rnacentral:sRNA from 1 species
AGUCUGGAUUUGCUGCUAGAGAGUUGGCCAGCUGAGUGCUUACCCUGCUCUGGCUUUGAAGAGUUUUAUCUGAUCUCUGAAAUGCAUACACUCCAGCCCCCCAAAGGGACAAGGAUUAACAUCUUCAUUUAAGGUCCUGAGAUACUCUGCGGUGGAGCUGUGGAAGCCAGGCGCACAGGAUGCAAGCAGCCAGGCCCAGGGAGGCAGCAGCUGCAUCCUCAGAGAGGAAGCCAGGAUGCCCCACUCUGCCGGGGGUACUGCAGGGGUGGGGCUGGAGGCUGCAGAGCCCACAGCCCUGCUCACCAGGGCAGAGCCCCCUUCAGAACCCACAGAGAUCCGUCCACAAAAGCGGAAAAAGGGGCCAGCCCCCAAAAUGCUGGGGAACGAGCUAUGCAGCGUGUGUGGGGACAAGGCCUCGGGCUUCCACUAUAAUGUUCUGAGCUGCGAGGGCUGCAAGGGAUUCUUCCGCCGCAGCGUCAUCAAGGGAGCGCACUACAUCUGCCACAGUGGCGGCCACUGCCCCAUGGACACCUACAUGCGUCGCAAGUG